CUAGCUGUAAACGAUGGAUACUAGGCGUUGAGAGUAUCGACUCUCUCAGUGUCGUAGCUAACGCGUUAAGUAUCCCGCCUGGGGAGUACGCGCGCAAGCGUGAAACUCAAAGGAAUUGACGGGGGCCCGCACAAGCGGUGGAGUAUGUGGUUUAAUUCGAUGCAACGCGAAGAACCUUACCAGGGCUUGACAUGUCCGGAACCCUGCCCAAAGGCGGGGGUGCCUACGGGAACCGGAACACAGGUGGUGC
rnacentral:rRNA from 1 species